UGUCUCUCAGGGACAACCCUGUUGUAGGCGCCCGUGACUGAGCCCCCAUCUCCAUCCUGUACUCCUACAAGCCUGCCCUACAUGCAAUACCAAGGGGACAUUUCCAAAACAAGAAUGUGGCCAGCAGAGGGUCAGAUACAGAGCAGAUUCCGAACAUGUUUAUUGAAUGAACGAAUGAAGGUCCCGUGUGCAAUGUUUGAGGGUGCCUUGAAGCUGCAAGUCCAGUUUCAGACAUGGCAACCGGAACGUGGAGGAGAGAGAACGAUAGGCUUUGGAGCCAGAAGACCUAAAAUUGAACGCAACGUUGUGCCGCUUUGGACAUCACCUCUGCAAGCCUCUGUUUCUUCAUCUAUACAAGACAGCCCUGUGGAAAUGACACAUGGAGAGAGGCUGAUGGAGCCGCAGAAGCCAUGUGGAGACCUGUCAGCACUGGAUGCACAAGA